CUCGAACCGUGAGAUCAUGACCCGAGCUGAAGUCGGACACCUGACCGACUGAGCCACUCAUGCACCCCAAGAUGCCCCCUUUGCUGAUCAUUUAAUGUGCCAGGUAGCUGCAACCAUGCAAGUCUUGCUGCCAUCUUUGUUCUUAGAACACAGACAACCAGCCUGGCAGGCAAUGACCGCUGAGAUCUUAGAGUCCAAAGGUCAGCCAUCUCUCCACCCUUGGGGACUUAAAAGGGGGAGCCAGGAAGGAGGACAGUUCCAGCCCCGCUUCCCCAUUUCAACCAGAAACACCUGGCUUUUCCCAUAUUGAUCGCUUGAAUAAGCUGAGUGGAGCUGCUGAGGGGAAGAAAAAGUUUAAGAACCAUUUCUCCAUCCUAACCACUCACUUUGCAGACGGGAAGCAAGAAGUGACUCUCACCCAAGGUCUCCCAGUGGUGACACUAGAGCUUCCAUCUCACCACUAUGCUGCUGCUUAAAGACAACACUUGUCCAUCAGUUCACCUGCCGGGUGCGUGUUGUUAACUACAUGGUCCAGACUCUUCCUACCUGCCCCCGUCCCUCGCCUUCAGGCCCACCACCACUGGGACACCACUGAAAGCAGUGGUGGCCAGGGCUCUGGCCGGAAGAACCAGUCCACAGGUCCGAAGACCCGAGUUGCCACGUGGGUUCUGCCACAUGCUGUGUGCUCCUUGGCAAGUCAUUUUUCUUCUCUGCAGAACGGAGGUUCUCUGCCUCACCCCAUGCUCCCUCCUGCUGUCCUGCUCUGUUCCAAGUUUGAGUUCCUACCAGGUUCCUGGAGAUGGAAGCUGUCUCUGCACACUGGCCGGUCCCAA